AAAAUUGUGUUUCAAGUUUGGGAGCUUUUACACAAAAACUGGUGCAUGUAUUUUGGACGGAACAUACUCCUUUUGUUACUUAACUCUCAUACCAUAUAUUUGACCUACUAUUUGAUGAAACAUGUUGCAUUUUGUUACUUUACUUUCUCAACUUUCAUACCAUAUAUUUGACACACUUCUUUUAUUGCAGGUGCACCUAUAGUAGGUAUGCUUUUUGAGAAGAUAGAAUAAGACAUUGAUGCACAUGAUAAGAACGUUGAGGGAUAAGGAGAAGAAAAAGGAAUAGAAUGGUAAAACUGAUGCAUAAUAUAGGGAGGAUCGUGUAAUGUACAUAUAUGCUAUCAUACAUUUAAAACCACACAUUCAAUUUGUUGACUCUAUAUUUGAAGAGAUUAUUAUGCAAUGACUUAAAUUUUGAAUUUGGAGUUAGACAAAAGUUAUGUAUUUUAGGGCUUUACGAAAAUUAUGAUUUAAUUUUUUUCUUAUUAUGUAUUCUAUCCUUGGGCAAGUGAAUUAUGUAACCUUAGUUGUAGUAAUAACUUCAUUCUAUUUCUUAACAAGUACAUUGAAGAAUAUUUGAAGAAGUACAUUUCCAUUUCUAUUAUCUAAGAAGUAAUGCUUAAUUUCUGCACAAAAUAUUUGAGAAUUACUGCCUCUCAUACCACAUUCUC
rnacentral:lncRNA from 1 species